GCUGGUGUAGCUCAGUGGCAGAGCAGCUGAUUCGUAAUCAGCAGGCCGUCGGUUCAAAUCCGACCACCAGCUCCA
rnacentral:tRNA from 1 species